rnacentral:rRNA from 1 species
UACGUAGGCAGCAAGCGUUGUUCGGAGUUACUGGGCGUAAAGGGUGCGUAGGCGGCCUUAUAAGUAUGGUGUGAAAUCUCCCGGCUUAACUGGGAGGGUGCGCUAUAGACUGUGGGGCUAGAGUGUGGGAGAGGAAGGUGGAAUUCCUGGUGUAGCGGUGAAAUGCGUAGAUAUCAGGAGGAACACCGGUGGUGUAAACGCUUUCUGGACCAUAACUGACGCUGAGGCACGAAAGCGUGGGUAGCAAACAGG